AGCGUACACGGUGGAUGCCCUGGCAGUCAGAGGCGAUGAAGGACGUGCUAAUCUGCGAUAAGCGUCGGUGAGGUGAUAUGAACCGUUAUAACCGGCGAUUUCCGAAUGGGGAAACCCAGUGUGUUUCGACACACUAUCAUUAACUGAAUCCAUAGGUUAAUGAGGCGAACCGGGGGAACUGAAACAUCUAAGUACCCCGAGGAAAAGAAAUCAACCGAGAUUCCCCCAGUAGCGGCGAGCGAACGGGGAGGAGCCCAGAGCCUGAAUCAGUGUGUGUGUUAGUGGAAGCGUCUGGAAAGGCGUGCGAUACAGGGUGACAGCCCCGUACACAAAAAUGCACAUAUUGUGAGCUCGAUGAGUAGGGCGGGACACGUGGUAUCCUGUCUGAAUAUGGGGGGACCAUCCUCCAAGGCUAAAUACUCCUGACUGACCGAUAGUGAACCAGUACCGUGAGGGAAAGGCGAAAAGAACCCCGGCGAGGGGAGUGAAAAAGAACCUGAAACCGUGUACGUACAAGCAGUGGGAGCCUCUUAAUGGGGUGACUGCGUACCUUUUGUAUAAUGGGUCAGCGACUUAUAUUCUGUAGCAAGGUUAACCGAAUAGGGGAGCCGAAGGGAAACCGAGUCUUAACUGGGCGUUAAGUUGCAGGGUAUAGACCCGAAACCCGGUGAUCUAGCCAUGGGCAGGUUGAAGGUUGGGUAACACUAACUGGAGGACCGAACCGACUAAUGUUGAAAAAUUAGCGGAUGACUUGUGGCUGGGGGUGAAAGGCCAAUCAAACCGGGAGAUAGCUGGUUCUCCCCGAAAGCUAUUUAGGUAGCGCCUCGUGAAUUCAUCUCCGGGGGUAGAGCACUGUUUCGGCAAGGGGGUCAUCCCGACUUACCAACCCGAUGCAAACUGCGAAUACCGGAGAAUGUUAUCACGGGAGACACACGGCGGGUGCUAACGUCCGUCGUGAAGAGGGAAACAACCCAGACCGCCAGCUAAGGUCCCAAAGUCAUGGUUAAGUGGGAAACGAUGUGGGAAGGCCCAGACAGCCAGGAUGUUGGCUUAGAAGCAGCCAUCAUUUAAAGAAAGCGUAAUAGCUCACUGGUCGAGUCGGCCUGCGCGGAAGAUGUAACGGGGCUAAACCAUGCACCGAAGCUGCGGCAGCGACACUAUGUGUUGUUGGGUAGGGGAGCGUUCUGUAAGCCUGUGAAGGUGGCCUGUGAGGGUUGCUGGAGGUAUCAGAAGUGCGAAUGCUGACAUAAGUAACGAUAAAGCGGGUGAAAAGCCCGCUCGCCGGAAGACCAAGGGUUCCUGUCCAACGUUAAUCGGGGCAGGGUGAGUCGACCCCUAAGGCGAGGCCGAAAGGCGUAGUCGAUGGGAAACAGGUUAAUAUUCCUGUACUUGGUGUUACUGCGAAGGGGGGACGGAGAAGGCUAUGUUGGCCGGGCGACGGUUGUCCCGGUUUAAGCGUGUAGGCUGGUUUUCCAGGCAAAUCCGGAAAACCAAGGCUGAGGCGUGAUGACGAGGCACUACGGUGCUGAAGCGACAAAUGCCCUGCUUCCAGGAAAAGCCUCUAAGCAUCAGGUAACAUCAAAUCGUACCCCAAACCGACACAGGUGGUCAGGUAGAGAAUACCAAGGCGCUUGAGAGAACUCGGGUGAAGGAACUAGGCAAAAUGGUGCCGUAACUUCGGGAGAAGGCACGCUGAUAUGUAGGUGAAGCGACUUGCUCGUGGAGCUGAAAUCAGUCGAAGAUACCAGCUGGCUGCAACUGUUUAUUAAAAACACAGCACUGUGCAAACACGAAAGUGGACGUAUACGGUGUGACGCCUGCCCGGUGCCGGAAGGUUAAUUGAUGGGGUUAGCGGUAACGCGAAGCUCUUGAUCGAAGCCCCGGUAAACGGCGGCCGUAACUAUAACGGUCCUAAGGUAGCGAAAUUCCUUGUCGGGUAAGUUCCGACCUGCACGAAUGGCGUAAUGAUGGCCAGGCUGUCUCCACCCGAGACUCAGUGAAAUUGAACUCGCUGUGAAGAUGCAGUGUACCCGCGGCAAGACGGAAAGACCCCGUGAACCUUUACUAUAGCUUGACACUGAACAUUGAGCCUUGAUGUGUAGGAUAGGUGGGAGGCUUUGA
rnacentral:rRNA from 1 species